rnacentral:rRNA from 1 species
AUACGGAGGAUCCGAGCGUUAUCCGGAUUUAUUGGGUUUAAAGGGUGCGCAGGCGGCCAUUUAAGUCAGCGGUUAAAUCGUGGGGCUCAACCCCAUUCUGCCGUUGAUACUGGGUGGCUUGAUUGCGGUCGAGGUUGGCGGAAUUCGUUGUGUAGCGGUGAAAUGCAUAGAUAUGACGAAGAACACCGAUUGCGUAGGCAGCUGACCAGACCGCAAAUGACGCUCAUGCACGAAAGUGCGGGGAUCGAACAGGAUUAGAUACCCUGGUAGUCCGCACAGUAAACGAUGAAUACUUGUUUUCGGCGAUAUAAUGUCGGAGGCAAAGCGAAAGCGAUAAGUAUUCCACCUGGGGAGUACGCCGGCAACGGUGAAACUCAAAUGAAUUGGCGGGA